rnacentral:rRNA from 1 species
GAUGAACGCUGGCGGCGUGCCUAAUACAUGCAAGUCGAGCGAACAGACGAGGAGCUUGCUCCUCUGACGUUAGCGGCGGACGGGUGAGUAACACGUGGAUAACCUACCUAUAAGACUGGGAUAACUUCGGGAAACCGGAGCUAAUACCGGAUAAUAUAUUGAACAGCAUGGUUCAAUAGUGAAAGACGGUUUUGCUGUCACUUAUAGAUGGAUCCGCGCCGCAUUAGCUAGUUGGUAAGGUAGCGGCUUACCAAGGCAACGAUGCGUAGCCGACCUGAGAGGGUGAUCGGCCACACUGGAACUGAGACACGGUCCAGACUCCUACGGGAGGCAGCAGUAGGGAAUCUUCCGCAAUGGGCGAAAGCCUGACGGAGCAACGCCGCGUGAGUGAUGAAGGUCUUCGGAUCGUAAAACUCUGUUAUUAGGGAAGAACAAAUGUGUAAGUAACUAUGCACGUCUUGACGGUACCUAAUCAGAAAGCCACGGCUAACUACGUG